rnacentral:rRNA from 1 species
ACAUGCCUACAACAUAGCAUUAACGCACCAGAUCCCAUUAGAACUCCGCAAUUAAGCACGAUUAAGCUACAGUAGUACUAGAAUGUGUGACUACUCGGGAAGUCCUAGUGUUUUACAUGCC